ensembl:lncRNA
GCGCCGCUCGCCCGGCUCGAGCCCCGGCUGGACCCCCGCCUGCCCGCCCGCCUGCCCGCCGGCACGCCGCCGCCGCCCGUGGGCGCCCCCAGGCCCCGCGGCCCCCAGCCCCCGCCACCCCGGCGCCGGCCCCUCUCACCCUUUCAUUCUCUGCCCGGGGCCUGACGCGGGCCGGCGAAUCCCCGGCCUCACAUCAGAGUGAGAGGCGCUGGCAAUGGACUCGGAAGCUCGGCUGCCGCUGUUACUGCUCCCCCCUGGGCUCCGGCGAGAGCCUUUCCCUGUCAAGCAAGAGGGGGCCAAAAGAUAUCCUCCAGGAACCCGUUGGUCACUGGCAGCAGCAGGGAUGAGACGUGUCCCUAGUGCCAUUUAACUGCCUUAUGCUUUCGGCAGAAGAAUGUAACCUAGCUUCGGCUGUCGGCCUUCUGGGGAUGUUCUGUGGACUACCAACCUACAGUAAGGAAAACAACUGUCUAACCGAAGUUGUAGUUUAAGUAAUGAUUAAUAAAAAGAAACACCCAAAAGCAGUAUUAAUGAUUGGAUUUAAGUAGAAUUAUAAGUGAUUGUCAGCCUUUUCUAUAAUUUGUAAUGAAAAACUGUCCCAAAAGUGGUGGUUUAGCUAAAACAUUGUAGUAGGAAGAGAAAUCCAUAGAGCCCUCAGAAUAACAGGCAAAGGCCAACACAAAGAUCACAGUGUUCAUUUCUGCUACAUUCCUGGUGCAACGAGCUUUUUGUAGACCCACUGGGAACUUAACCACUAUUUCCAUGGGAAAAUAAAUUCCAGGUUCCAAACAGCUAAUCAACAGUGAUGUUCCAGAACAUGUUCAUUAAUAAGCUUGGACUUCUUGUACUGUAACGUCUUUGCCAUAUAUUUGUUAUAGGCAGCCAGAAUUCAGUAGUGAGUGUAGGAAAAAGGAGGAAAUUCAUUCAGUUAAAGUAAGGAGUUACUGUUGUCUUAAAAACAUUUAUUUAUUUUAGAGCGAGAGCAAGUUGGGGGGGGACAGCAGGGGAGAGAAUCUGAAGCAGACUCCCUGCUGAGUGCAGGGCCCCACGCAGGGCUCCAUCUCACCACCCAUGAGAUCACAACCUGAGCAGAAACCAAGAGUCAGUCACUUCGACUGCGCCACCCAAGGCGCCCCAGUAAGGAGUUACCAUUAACGUAAAUCAAAUAGGGGUGCCUGGGUGGCUCAGUCAUGAGCCCCGCAUCAGACUCCCUGCUCAGAGUGGGAAGCCUGCUUCUCCCUCUCCCACUCCCCCUGCUUGUGUUCCCUUUGUCACUGUCUCCGUCAAAUAAAUAAAAUCUUAAAAAAAAUUCAAAUAGUUUGAUUCAAAUUCAGGUGAGGAAGAUUAUCAAAUUAUAAAAGGGCAAGGCCAGUUGUACACCAGGAGGGAAGACCUCAGUAACCAAAAAUUAUACUUUUUACCUUAACUCUAUGCAUUGGUGUUUCUGUUUUACACAUGUCUGGGUGCUUAUGUGAGCUUACAAGUAGGUAUUUGCAUUUUGUUUUAUUAAGGAAAACCAGAAAGAGAAAGAAAUGAGGGGAUAGAAGUCAAUAAGAUUCUACUAAAAAUGAUCCAACUUCAUUCUUCUAUUAGGCUGAUGCUGUUUUUCGCCCCACACAGCAAGUCAUGGCCAUUUUUGUCUUUUUUUUUUUUAAGAUUUUAUUUAUUUAUUUGACAGAGAGGGACACAGCGAGAGAAGGAACACAAGCAGGGAGAGUGGGAGAGGGAGAAGCAGGCUUCCCGCCGAGCAGGGAGCCCGAUGUAGGGCUCGAUCCCAGGACCCUGGGAUCAUGACCUGAGCCGAAGGCAGAC